AUUGAACGCUGGCGGCAGGCCUAACACAUGCAAGUCGAGCGAGCGGCGGACGGGAGAGUAUUGUAUGGGGAUCUGCCCGAUAGAGGGGGAUAACUACUGGAAACGGUGGCUAAUAUCGCAUACUAUCAGAUGAGCCUAGGUCGGAUUAGCUAGUUGGUGGGGUAAAGGCCUACCAAGGCGACGAUCCGUAACUGGUCUGAGAGGAUGAUAAGACACACAGGACAUGAGACACGGUCCAGACGCAUACGGGAGGCAGCAGUGGGGAAUAUUUGAAAAUGGGCGAAAGCCUGAUCGAGCAAUGCCGCGUGUAUGAAGAAGGCCUUAGGGUUGUAAAGUACUUUCAGCGGGGAGGCGUUACCCGCAGAAGAAGCACCGGCUAACUACGGGCCAGCAGCCGCGGUAAUUC
rnacentral:rRNA from 1 species